rnacentral:rRNA from 1 species
GACGAACGCUGGCGGCGUGCUUAACACAUGCAAGUCGAACGGAAAGGCCCAGCUUGCUGGGUACUCGAGUGGCGAACGGGUGAGUAACACGUGGGUGAUCUGCCCUGCACUCUGGGAUAAGCCUGGGAAACUGGGUCUAAUACCGGAUAUGAUCAACUGUCGCAUGGUGGUUGGUGGAAAGCUUUUGCGGUGUGGGAUGGGCCCGCGGCCUACCAGCUUGUGGGUGGGGUAAUGGCCUACCAAGGCGACGACGGGUAGCCGACCUGAGAGGGUGAUCGGCCACACUGGGACUGAGACACGGCCCAGACUCCUACGGGAGGCAGCAGUGGGGAAUAUUGCACAAUGGGCGCAAGCCUGUUGCAGCGACGCCGCGUGAGGGAUGACGGCCUUCGGGUUGUAAACCUCUUUCACCAGGGACGAAGCGUGAGUGACGGUACCUGGAGAAGAAGCACCGGCCAACUACGUGCCAGCAGCCGCCGUAA